CUGAGUGGUGCCAAAUGGUUAAGGCAUUUGGCUGCUAACUGAAAGGCUGGAGGUUUGAGUCCACCCACAGA
rnacentral:tRNA from 1 species